rnacentral:rRNA from 1 species
UACUCGAGUGGCGAACGGGUGAGUAACACGUGGGUGAUCUGCCCUGCACUUCGGGAUAAGCCUGGGAAACUGGGUCUAAUACCGGAUAGGAGCCAUUUUUAGUGUGAUGGUUGGAAAGUUUUUUCGGUGUAGGAUGAGCUAGCGGCCUAUCAGCUUGUUGGUGGGGUAAUGGCCUACCAAGGCGGCGACGGGUAGCCGGCCUGAGAGGGUGGACGGCCACAUUGGGACUGAGAUACGGCCCAG